GGAAGCGUUGUCCGGAUUAUUGGGCGUAAGCGCGCGCAGGUGGUUCCUUAAGUCUGAUGUGAAAGCCCACGGCUCAACCGUGGAGGGUCAUUGGAAACUGGGGGACUUGAGUGCAGAAGAGGAAAGUGGAAUUCCAAGUGUAGCGGUGAAAUGCGUAGAGAUUUGGAGGAACACCAGUGGCGAAGGCGACUUUCUGGUCUGUAACUGACACUGAGGCGCGAAAGCGUGGGGAGCAAACAGGAUUAGAUACCCUGGUAGUCCACGCCGUAAACGAUGAGUGCUAAGUGUUAGAGGGUUUCCGCCCUUUAGUGCUGCAGCUAACGCAUUAAGCACUCCGCCUGGGGAGUACGGCCGCAAGGCUGAAACUCAAAGGAAUUGACGG
rnacentral:rRNA from 1 species